GACGAACGCUGGCGGCGUGCUUAACACAUGCAAGUCGAACGGAAAGGCCUCUUUCGGGGGGUACUCGAGUGGCGAACGGGUGAGUAACACGUGAGUAACCUGCCCUUGACUUUGGGAUAACUUCAGGAAACUGGGGCUAAUACCGGAUAGGAGCUCCUGCUGCAUGGUGGGGGUUGGAAAGUUUCGGCGGUUGGGGAUGGACUCGCGGCUUAUCAGCUUGUUGGUGGGGUAGUGGCUUACCAAGGCUUUGACGGGUAGCCGGCCUGAGAGGGUGACCGGCCACAUUGGGACUGAGAUACGGCCCAGACUCCUACGGGAGGCAGCAGUGGGGAAUAUUGCACAAUGGGUGGAAGCCUGAUACAGCAACGCCGUGUGCGGGAUGACGGCCUUCGGGUUGGAAACCGCUUUCGCUCAUGACGAAGCUUUGUGUGACGGUAGUGGGUAAAGAAGCACCGGCUAACUACGUG
rnacentral:rRNA from 1 species